AAAUGUCCGUGGAACCGGCCCCACUAACCUGCAUCCAGCUGCCUCUUCCACCUGGGCCCUGCUCUCAGAUGGAAGUGUCACCAAACACCCAGAUCGCCGUGCUCCUGCUUCUCUGGGUAAGCACUUACAGAGGCUACACAGGUGCUUGCCAGGUUACGUUAGGCUGUGCCUUCUUUCCUUGUGGCCCAUGCACAGGCCUCUGGCCAGCUCUGUCCGGGUGGCAGCUCUCCUGGUGUCCGGCAAGCUUCCUCUGCUCGGACUCUGCCAGUCAAAGCCCAGCCCUGGCUCCUGGAGUCUGCAGUGCAAGUGGCCUCAGAAGCCCAGCCUCCCUCUGCAGCUGAACCCUGCAGCCCUUGUGUGAGAUGAAGUGAAGGAUGAAUAUUAUCCCAGGCUAAAGUAACGAAAAGUCCAGAAGCCAGCGAUGACAGAGAUGUGUGUGGAAGAAGGCUGUGAGCAUUUCCAUCAAACCCUGUGAGUUUCCGAAGAUCUUAUCCCGAAGAUAUGUGUUUGGCCAAUAAAACACUGAAUAAAAAUCCAUCAUGUUUCCA
rnacentral:lncRNA from 1 species